GGGCCCGUAGCUCAGCCCGGUAGAGCAGCUGACUUUUAAUCAGUUGGUCGCAGGUUCGAAUCCUGCCGGGCCCACCA
rnacentral:tRNA from 1 species